GAUGAACGCUAGCGGCAGGCCCAACACAUGCAAGUCGAGGGGUAGCAGGAUUAAGCUUGCUUAAUUGCUGACGACCGGCGCAGGGGUGCGUAACGCGUAUGCAACCUACCUUAUACUGGGGUAUAGCCCGGAGAAAUUCGGAUUAAUCCCCCAUAGUACUAAUGAAUCGCAUGGUUUAUUAGUUAAAGCAGUUCGGUAUAAGAUGGGCAUGCGUCCUAUUAGCUAGAUGGUGAGGUAACGGCUCACCAUGGCUACGAUAGGUAGGGGGCCUGAGAGGGUGGUCCCCCACACUGGUACUGAGACACGGACCGGACUCCUACGGGAGGCAGCAGUGAGGAAUAUUGGUCAAUGGGCGCAAGCCUGAACCAGCCAUGCCGCGUGCAGGAAGAAUGCCCUAUGGGUUGUAAACUGCUUUUAUUUGGGAAUAAACCUCCUUACGUGUAGAGAGCUGAAGGUACCAAAUGAAUAAGCACCGGCUAACUCCGUGCCAGCAGCCGCAGUAA
rnacentral:rRNA from 1 species